GCCUGGGUAGCUUAGUUGGUAGAGCAUGUGACUCUUUAUCUCAGGGUCAUGAGUUCAAUUCCCACACUGGGCA
rnacentral:tRNA from 1 species